GUCUCUGAGGAUGAUGAAAAAGUAACUUUCGUUCUUCCGAGUUUUCCAUGCGGAAAAUAUAUGGAGACCUGAACUGAGGAGAC
rfam:Cajanus cajan CcLG08_114, whole genome shotgun sequence.